UUCCUCGACACCCCUCAGCUUUUGUCAAACUCAAGCAAAGAAGCCCAAGGAAGGGUGAAAUCCCCGCUUAGUACGAACGAAACGAGUUCGAAGCAUUUCCAGAGGAGAAGAUUCAAGUUUGCUUGAUGAAGAAGAAUCUAAGAAUGGCUACAACUAAAAGCCUCGGGGGCGCUUCUUCAGGAAUUCCAUCUUCCUUCUUCAAGGUUUUCCUUCCUAAUGUCAGCUCAGAACGAUUGAAAAUCCCACCAGCAUUCUUGAAACACAUGCAAGGCCAAACCUCUGGAACCGUUUCCUUAACAGGUCCAAGUGGGAACGUAUGGCUUGUCAAUUUGAUUGGGACUACUGACGGGUUGUUUCUUGAACAAGGUUGGAACAUCUUUCUGAAGGAUCAUUUCAUAGAAUUUGGCGAUUUCUUUGUUUUCAGAUACGAUGGGAAUCUGUGUUUUGAUGUGCAAGUAUUCGAUCAAACUGCAUGUGAGAAAGAAGCUGCAUUCCGCGCCAAAUGUAGCCAAGUCAAUGGCGAUUUUGUACAGUAUAAUGGGAUGAAAAGAGUGAGAGGCAAGGAACCAGAGAUCGUGUAUGGAUCAUCACUUAAGCCUUUUGAGGUUGUGAUCAAGAGGAAGAGAGUUAGCUCUCCUCAAGUCACUCAAUUUAGUUCGGGAGGGGAAAAGUAAAAACAACUAGUAACGUAAUCGUUUCUGAUGAGAGUGAAUGUCGAAGAGAAGAAGCAGCUGCGACUAAAACAAACCAAGAAUCUGGCUUCCUAAGUGAAAGAAAACGGGGAAGGCCACGGAAGAUUUUUGCUAGCUUGAAACGAUUCUCUCCUUCAGAUAAUGCUUGCGACAAUUACCGAGGGCUAGUCAACCGAGAAAAAGUCAAUAUAGAAGAUGUUGAACUGCCUGCUUGUGAGAUGGGUUCAUAUGUCGGAGGCUAUUUUCCAUGGAGGAAAUUGACAUCUCAAGAGACAAGAGAAGAAGUUCAGAGAGCAGCUUUGUCUUUUUCUUCCGAAUUCCCUUACGUUGUGAGUUGUAUGAAGAAGUAUAAUGUGGGAGUGCCCUCUGUUCUGGUAAAGUUUGUUUAAUUUCUUUGCUUCCUCCUAUUGCUCUUAUAGUGAAUGUUUUUAAUUAUUGAUUCAAUAAGCGGUUGGUUACCAAAAAAAAAAAAAGAUUCAAUAAUCGGUUGAUAUUUUAUUUGCAGUAGAUAUGUUUAUAUAAGGGAGCUACAAUUAGUGUGGCACCUAAAACUCCAACUUCCUGACCCUUGGAUCUUCAAACUUGAAUUUAGAUGGCCUUUGUAUUCUGCGUCAUGGAAUUGUUUGAUUACGACAUUAUAGGAUACUUUAUGUUUUCUCUACCUUUUCCCCUUGUCUUAUCGAUUCAUGACAAAAUGUUAGGAUUUGAAGAUCCACUUAUAUGGGAAUUAGCAUUUUAGCUAUGCUAUUGGAUAUUGAGGUAAGGAAUCUGAUAUACUUUAGUUCUUUUGAGCUUUGGUGUUGUAAGGAAACAUGAUUGUGGUUUGAUGACAACAAGAAAUAGAGAUAAACAAUAUAAAAUCACAACCACAAGAAUGCAGGAGUUUAUGUGGUUGGCUCUGCAAACUGCCAACAUCUACUGAAAAAGAUGAAAAAAUCCAUUAAAUAUUUGGGGAGAUAAUAAUGAAUAUCAACCAAAAAGAGACAAAAAGUAACUGUCUUCCCCAAAACAUAACUUCCUUCUCAAAGCCAUAUUCGUCCAAAGAGAUACACUUCUUUGAUACCAAUCUCAAAAGAAGGAUCUCUACACCAAAACCUUGGAACUCAAACAUGGGCUACAAACUGUGUAGAACCUCAAAACUUGCAGCCAAAGAACAGCUGGUGAAGAACCUCCUACAGAUUAUAUCUUGGGUUUGCUCCCUACUUAUAUGAUGUUUCUCUUUCCUAUCCCCACUCAAGUACCAGCUCUGCUGGAAAACAGAUAGAGAGACUUUUUGUGGCAGGGUUGGAAAGAGGAGUUCAAAAUUCAGUCAUCUGGAAUAAACUGUCACCCUAAAUCUAGGGGAGGUUUGGGGGUUAGAAGCUUAAAUUCAUUUAAGACUGCAGUGAUUGGAAGUGGUUUUAGGGUUAUAAUGAGGAAAGGAUAGUUUAUGAAGGCAGAUCAUUAAUUUGAAGUAUGGGUCAGGGGAUGGAACCUGGGAUCCAGGGGAGAAUACUGCUCCAUACAGUUGUGCUCUUUUGAGAGGGAUUCAGAAGUCCUAUACUAAAUUCAUGAAGGGAAUCGGUUAAAGAUUCUUUGCCUCAGUUUUAUCAAUUAGCCCUGAACAAGGAAGCAUGGAUGGCUAAUGUGUUCAGAUCCCAUGGAGACUCAACUUGUUGGAAUCCCACCUUCAGGAGAAGCUUUAAUGAUUGGAAGUUGGACCUGUUAGUAGAAUUGCUUAAAAAGAUUUACUGUUACAUGCCUGAUAGAGAAAUGAUGGAGAGGAGAGUUUGGAGGUGGAACAGACCAGGAAAGUUCAGUCAAGUCUUUAUACAACAUUUAACUUAUUUAAGGGGAGAGAGAUACUUCUCCUGUUUCAAGGGUAUGACAAUCAAUUGCUCCCCCAAAGGUAGCAUUUUUAUGUGGAUAACAGUACUUAACAGGGUUUUUACGAUUGAUAAUUUUUUGAAGAGAGGCUUGGCUGUUAACCAUACCCUUUGUUCUAUGUGCAAUGAGUGCCCUGAAUCUGUAAAUCACUUAUUUCUUCACUGCAGGUUGGUUUGGAGAAUAUGGUGCAGAGCAGAAUGUUCAAUUUCUUUGAAGUGAAGUUAUGUUUACUGAAAAUCUGGAGGAUCUAUUAUGAAUCUGGCAUUGUAGAGAUAAAGAGAGUUAGCCGAUGAGGCUUUGUAUUUUUACCUCUUGCUGUA